CCUGCUAGGCCUGGAUCCCACGUACCAAAAAAAAGUUGAUUAAUAGCAAGCUGAAAAUUUGCUAAUAGGGCUUUUCAUCAAUUGUCAUUUGUUUCGAGUUCCUGUCAUAUGUUAUAUAAUAUUAAUAUAGGGCUUUUCAUUCACAGUCAUUUGUUUCGAGCUUCUGUCAUGUGUCACAUAAUAUUAAUAUAUCUACGUCAUACGUUAUUGGCAUAUACCAAUGAUACAAACCAAAGACAUAUGACGUAGAUAUGUUAAUAUAAUAUGACACAUGACAGAAGCUCGAAACAAAUGACAAUCGAUGAAAAGCCCUAUACACGGAUUAUACGGCAUAUGACAGAAGCUCGAAACAAAUGACUGUGAAUGAAAAGCCCUAUAGCUUAACGGUGUCUAGUCAGACAAACUUUAAUGUACGCAAACACUGGAAGUUUUAAUUGUGGAACAGUUUAAAAAUUUGGAACGUAGAUUACUAAAACUCAUGUGUAUUUUGUCAGACAGAACAUCCAAUUGAUUUGUUACCUUUUCAUUAAACUCUCAUGCAAAAAGCAGACUGAUAUUACUAACCAACAUGAUUCCUGUCAUUUGACAUGUUCUUCUUGUUCCACUCAUUAAAAUGCCCAGUUGGUGAUAAACACCAGUCUGAUUUUUGCAUGAGAGUAAUGAAAUGGAAACAAAUCAAUUGGAAGUUCUGUCCGACAAAAUACAUAAAACGUAUUCAAAGUCUGACGUUCCAAAUUUUUAACUUAUUCCACAAUUAAUACUUCCCCUGUUCCCAUACAUCAAAGUUUGUCUGACUAGACACUGUUAAUCUAUUAACAAAUAAUUUUCAGCUAGCUAUUAAUCAACUUUUUUUUGGUACGCAUUAUCCAGGUCUAUGCAGUUCCCUUGUUUACUGAUCCAAAACUAAUGAGUAUAAAUAAGAACUGAGUACUUACUGUGCCUCUCCCAUAUUUUCAUGAAGUGUCUAAGUAGUUUUAUGACUGUAGUUUGUUCAUUAUUGUAUUUUUUUUUGUUUUUAUAAACGGGUACAAAUAUACUGCUUCUUCAUUCGUUUAGCAUUUGUCCAACUUCCAUAAUUCUAUUAAAUAAACAUAUUAGCCAACUUAUUCCUGCCUCUUCUAAUGGCUUCCACAUUUCCCCAGGAAUAUCCCGAUUCCUUUAUUUUUUGAAGUGCUUGAACCACUUCCUCAUGGUCAGUGCGAGUUGACAGUAAAAUCAAGUAGGAAGUAUAUAUCAGCACGUCUCGCAACAAGGAUGGAAAAAAUACAGUAUGUUUAAGAUAUACUAUGUGAAGACAGACACAUGUCUCUGACUCAUUAGCUAUCAUCAGUACAGUAUAGCCAAAUUAGAAUAGGUCUGCGUUAACCUUUCCUUGUUUGAAAAACUCUAAACAUUGAUUGUUUGAAACAUUCCGCAUUCCUUUCCUCAGGUAGCUGUAGCUUCCUCCUUGGAUGUGUUAGUUGUUGCUCUGGAAUCGUUAGGAUCUUCUAACAUUAUUGUCACAAAUUGGUUGCAUUGCUCCUGUAGUGAUCUUUUCCCAAGCUAGCAUACACCUCUAGUAGGUAUAGCGGUAUAGCAUACAGAAAUGUAGAUAAACUGAUAAUGUUGAUUUGUAAACAAAACAUCUUCACUAAAUGGGUGAAAAAGCUGAAUUCUUAGUGUCUGUUAUCUGUAUUUUGAGGUUGCAGUCAUUAAGUUAAGGGGCAGAAUAAAAAAAAACUCUGUAGACACAUUAACGGACACACUUCACAUGUAGUCACAUCUUCUUAAGGAGUGACUUCAUAUGUAGUUGUGUCAGUGAAUGUAUUAAUAUCAAGCUUUCGCAAAAUUUAUUUGUUUCAUCAAGUCUAAAAUAAAUUUAUAAUUCUUUUCUCAGUAAAUACAAUGAAAUUAAGACAAAAAAGCAUUGUAUUAAAGAAGCAUAAAAACUUACAACAUGAGCUUAGUCCAUUAAAUUUUAAACAUUAUCACUAAACAUAAAAAAUAUAAGAUUGUUAAUCUAGUAGUAAUUACAAUGUUUUAUUUAAUUUUAUAUCACAGUAAUAGUUUUUGGCACUGAAAUAUCUCAUAAAAACGGAUUACUGGUUGUCUCGUAACUGAAGUCACUCUAGAUUUAAAUUAUGUCUUUCUGCCACAGCAUUUAAGUACAUAAAUAACCGAUUUACAAAAUUCAUCUUUUCAAAAUAUAAACAUUAAACUUAAAAACAAGCAAAAAGUUGGGUUAACAUGAAUUAAAUGACAGUCAGGACAUGACAGAACCCUAAAUAACAUGAUACGUAAUUUUUUUGAUACAGCAUACCACUUUAUACACUUAUGUUUUGACGACUGUAAUCUGAUGUACGUAAUUCUGAACUUAACACAUGUACGUAAUCACUUUACGUAAAGGAUACAGCAUAGCCCCCAAUGAUAUGACAAUGACAGUGAAGGUGAAGGACAUGAGAGAAUGACAUAAUGACAACAAUAAAAAUAAAUAAUAGGUCUGUUCCUUUGUUUUUUAGUGUUACACUUUUGAGUGUAAGUGUACGAAAUUCUAUGGACAUUUGAGUGUAAAAUGACAGCGGAUGUGACAGCGGCUCAUGACAGCGGACAGUAUUAAACGAAAAUUAUCGGUGUGCCAAUCAAGCAAAGGGACAAGGAACUUCCGAAUAUGGCCUAACUGGGGGCACAUAACAUAACAUAACCUAAUCCUAAUAUUUACAUUUGUAAAGAAUAUCCUGUUUGUUUUUAUUGUCGAUUGUGCAGCGAAAUUGUGUGCAGCAAAUCAAAUAUAAAGUAGUUUAUCGCCUACAGAACUGAAUUAGUCCAUAGCAGUUAUCAGUUUUUCUUUCUUGGGAAGCUUAUUGGGACCGUGCAAGUUCGGCAAAGCGACCCCUAUUUCUACGCUCUAUACUAAAAUUCGCACUUUUAAUUAUAUUGGCCAAUUAUAUUAGUCCUGGUUACUGGAUAAUUGUCAAGGCCAUAGUCCAAAAAAAUAAUAAGAAGAAAAAAUAAAAUUUAGGUUAUGUUAUGAAAACGUCAACAAUUGUAUGUAGUAAAUAAAAUUAGUUAUUAAAAUGCAGUACUGCAAGCAAAAUAAAAUUAAUUAAAUUUACCUUUAUAUAAUAAUUGCAUAUCAUAUCAAUAUUGUGGAGCAAUAUAUAAUUUUUCUGCUUCAUUGACAGAAGGUAUGAAAUAUACGUCAAUUUGACAAUUUCAAUUGACAAUAUGAAUUAUUUAAGAUAGUUGCAAUAUUUCUCCGCGACUCGCGCAGGGUCGUUUCUCGUUUCCCCUUCCAAGUACUUGCACACCGCGAAUACAUGUAACUUGUAUUGUUGUAAAUUGUGGGAGUAGGGCAGACAGGGAAAAGUCUUAUUUUGUACUGUUCCCAAGGCUCCCCGUGCAAUACAUUUAAAUGAAUUAUCCAAACAAAGCCGGGGACAAUGGAUAAAAGCCACAAGAAGAACAGAUAUAAGGGAACUAAAAUUAAAAUAUGAAAAGUAAACAUUUUAUAAGUGGAACAACCACCAGAUAUUUAAAAGGUAUAAAAAGAAGAAACUGCUGGAAUUUCAAAACAAAUGUGUUUGACUAGUAAAGAUUUGGAUAAAUAACAGGAGUUAUUUCAUGUUAAUUCUUAUUAAUUAUACACUUAAAUAUGUUUUUAGUCUCAGGAAGAUUUUAUAUUUGAUUAUUUUUGAAUAAACAUUAUUAUUAUUACCUUAA